rnacentral:sRNA from 1 species
UGUUUUUCGUUCGAGUGAGAUACCUCCU